AUGGCCAUACCAUGCUGAAUAUACCGGUUCUCGUUAGAUCACCGAAGUCAAGCAUCAUUGGGCGCGGUCAGUACUUGGGUGGGUGACCACCUGGGAACACCGCGUGCCGU